GCUUACGGCCACACGGCCUGAGUACGCCUGAUCUCGUCCGAUCCGGAAGCUAAGCAGGGUCGGGCCUGGUUAGUACUUGGAUGGGAGACCGCCUGGGAAUACCAGUGCUGUAAGCU
rnacentral:rRNA from 1 species